UGUUUUCAUGCUUUCUUCUCGAUUCGUUCGAACCUCAGGAAACAGUUUGUCUCACAAAACAUGUAGCCACUUUCUCUUCUCUAAACACCUCGUGGCGUAACGUCCGAGCUGUGAUCGUGUACUGAAACGGGGUCCUGGUAAUUUGAGCUCACAAGCACGCUGGAUGGUCCAGCUGAAGAAAAGGGGUGAGAUUGACUGUAACAGUAAGGUGACUAAUUGGAAACUUAAGCACUUGGUUAAUACACCUUGGCCUGCAAUUCUGAUGAUUACAGUAUACUGAGGUAAUCAAAAUGUUAGUCCCCAUACAAGAACCUUCCACAUGAUCUGAAAAGUCGUAUAAUAUGGGGUAACUGAAAAAAAUGCAUUUGUUUUCAUUGGUAGAACUUUUGUAAGUACAGUACCACCUAGUGACUAAAAUUAAUGAUUUCCUGUAAGCAUGAAUGUUUGAGAGAAAGUAUGGUGAUAAUUGACCCUAUUUGUGCAAGGAUGCAUAGGGUUUGAUGAUUUUAAUCCAUAUCUUUUAGCUUUCAAACUUUCAACUUUGUAUUAAUUUUAACUGUUUACCACAUCUAUUUCUC